rnacentral:ribozyme from 12 species
UGAUGAAAUCAAACAAAAAAACAAAAAGGGGAUGAAGAGUCGUUAAGAUUGUGUGAUUAUUCUAUUGUCGCCUUUCUUUUGUUUCC